AUUGAACGCUAGCGGGAUGCUUUACACAUGCAAGUCGAACGAGUGGCGUACGGGUGAGCAAUGUAUCGGACCGUGCCCAGUAGCGGGCGAUAACUACCCGAAAGAGUGGCCAAUAACGCCUACUUUUGGAGCGGCCGAUAUCGGAUUAGCUAGUUGGUGGGGUAAAGGCUCACCAAGGCAACGAUCCGUAGCUGGUUUGAGAGGACGACCAGCCACACUGGGACUGAGACACGGCCCAGACUCCUACGGGAGGCAGCAGUGGGGAAUUUUGGACAAUGGGGGAAACCCUGAUCCAGCCAUCCCGCGUGUAUGAGAAGGCCUUCGGGUUGUAAAGUACUUUUGGCAGAGAAGCGGUAUCUGCAGAAUAAGCACCGGCUAACUACGUGCCAGCAGCCGCGGUAAUAC
rnacentral:rRNA from 1 species